rnacentral:rRNA from 1 species
AUUGAACGCUGGCGGCAUGCCUUACACAUGCAAGUCGAACGGCAGCACGGGAGCAAUCCUGGUGGCGAGUGGCGAACGGGUGAGUAAUAUAUCGGAACGUGCCCAGUAGUGGGGGAUAACUGCUCGAAAGAGCAGCUAAUACCGCAUACGACCUGAGGGUGAAAGGGUGGGAUCGCAAGACCUCUCGCUAUUGGAGCGGCCGAUAUCAGAGUAGCUAGUUGGUUGGGUAAAGGCCUACCAAGGCGACGAUCUGUAGUUGGUCUGAGAGGACGACCAGCCACACUGGGACUGAGACACGGCCCAGACUCCUACGGGAGGCAGCAGUGGGGAAUUUUGGACAAUGGGCGCAAGCCUGAUCCAGCAAUGCCGCGUGCAGGAAGAAGGCCUUCGGGUUGUAAACUGCUUUUGUCAGGGAAGAAAUCCUCUAGGUUAAUACCCUUGGGGGGAUGACGGUACCUGAAGAAUAAGCACCGGCUAACUACGUGCCAGCCGCCGCGGUAAGAC